UACGUAGGUGUCGAGCGUUGUCCGGAUUUAUUGGGCGUAAAGCGCCCGCAGGCGGCUUGGCAAGUUCGAGGUGAAAUCUCCCGGCUCAACUGGGAGGGUGCCUCGAAACUGCCAGGCUUGAGGCAGGGAGAGGGAUGUGGAAUUCACGGUGUAGCAGUGAAAUGCGUAGAUAUGUGGAGGAACACCGAUGGCGAAGGCAGCCCCCUGGGUCAAAACUGACGCUCAUGCACGAAAGCGUGGGGAGCAAACAGG
rnacentral:rRNA from 1 species